CUGAUUUGAAGAGCUUGCUCAGAUAUGACGAUGGACAUUGCAAAGAGUGGCGAACGGGUGAGUAACACGUGGGAAACCUACCUCUUAGCAGGGGAUAACAUUUGGAAACAGAUGCUAAUACCGUAUAACAAUAGCAACCGCAUGGUUGCUACUUAAAAGAUGGUUCUGCUAUCACUAAGAGAUGGUCCCGCGGUGCAUUAGUUAGUUGGUGAGGUAAUGGCUCACCAAGACGAUGAUGCAUAGCCGAGUUGAGAGACUGAUCGGCCACAAUGGGACUGAGACACGGCCCAUACUCCUACGGGAGGCAGCAGUAGGGAAUCUUCCACAAUGGGCGAAAGCCUGAUGGAGCAACGCCGCGUGUGUGAUGAAGGGUUUCGGCUCGUAAAACACUGUUGUAAGAGAAGAAUGACAUUGAGAGUAACUGUUCAAUGUGUGACGGUAUCUUACCAGAAAGGAACGGCUAAAUACGUGCCAGCAGCCGCGGUAAUACGUAUGUUCCAAGCGUUAUCCGGAUUUAUUGGGCGUAAAGCGAGCGCAGACGGUUAUUUAAGUCUGAAGUGAAAGCCCUCAGCUCAACUGAGGAAUUGCUUUGGAAACUGGAUGACUUGAGUGCAGUAGAGGAAAGUGGAACUCCAUGUGUAGCGGUGAAAUGCGUAGAUAUAUGGAAGAACACC
rnacentral:rRNA from 1 species